AUUGAACGCUGGCGGCAUGCCUAACACAUGCAAGUCGUACGGUAACGGUUCGGCCGACGAGUGGCGAACGGGUGAGUAAUGCGUAGGAAUUUGCCCAGUAGUGGGGGACAACCCGGAGAAAUCCGGGCUAAUACCGCAUGAGCCCCAAGGGGGAAAGAGGGGGAUCGAAAGACCUCUCGCUAUUGGAUGAGCCUACGUCCGAUUAGCUAGUUGGUGGGGUAAAGGCCCACCAAGGCGAUGAUCGGUAGCUGGUCUGAGAGGACGACCAGCCACACUGGGACUGAGACACGGCCCAGACUCCUACGGGAGGCAGCAGUGGGGAAUAUUGGACAAUGGGGGAAACCCUGAUCCAGCAAUGCCGCGUGGGUGAAGAAGGCCCGCGGGUUGUAAAGCCCUUUCGGUGGGGAAGAAAAAGCCUUGGAGGAAUAUGCCAGGGCCUUGACGGUACCCACAGAAGAAGCACCGGCUAACUCUGUGCCAGCAGCCGCGGUAAUACAGAG
rnacentral:rRNA from 1 species